rnacentral:rRNA from 1 species
AUUGAACGCUGGCGGCAGGCCUAACACAUGCAAGUCGAACGGUAACAGGAAGAAGCUUGCUUCUUUGCUGACGAGUGGCGGACGGGUGAGGAAUGUCUGGGAAACUGCCUGAUGGAGGGGGAUAACUACUGGAAACGGUAGCUAAUACCGCAUAACGUCGCAAGACCAAAGAGGGGGACCUUCGGGCCUCUUGCCAUCGGAUUUGCCCAGAUGGGAUUAGCUAGUAGGUGGGGUAACGGCUCACCUAGGCGACGAUCCCUAGCUGGUCUGAGAGGAUGACCAGCCACACUGGAACUGAGACACGGUCCAGACUCCUACGGGAGGCAGCAGUGGGGAAUAUUGCACAAUGGGCGCAAGCCUGAUGCAGCCAUGCCGCGUGUAUGAAGAAGGCCUUCGGGUUGUAAAGUACUUUCAGCGGGGAGGAAGGGAGUAAAGUUAAUACCUUUGCUCAUUGACGGUACCCGCAGAAGAAGCACCGGCUAACUCCGUC